rnacentral:rRNA from 1 species
GACGAACGCUGGCGGCGUGCUUAACACAUGCAAGUCGAGCGGAAAGGCCUCUUCGGGGGUACUCGAGCGGCGAACGGGUGAGUAACACGUGAGUAAUCUGCCUCUGGCUUCGGGAUAGCCACCGGAAACGGUGAUUAAUACCGGAUAUGACGCAUCACUGCAUGGUGUGUGCGUGGAAAGUUUUUUCGGCCAGGGAUGUGCUCGCGGCCUAUCAGCUUGUUGGUGGGGUAAUGGCCUACCAAGGCUUCGACGGGUAGCCGGCCUGAGAGGGUGACCGGCCACACUGGGACUGAGACACGGCCCAGACUCCUACGGGAGGCAGCAGUGGGGAAUAUUGGACAAUGGGCGGAAGCCUGAUCCAGCAACGCCGCGUGAGGGAUGACGGCCUUCGGGUUGUAAACCUCUUUCAGCACAGACGAAGCGCAAGUGACGGUAUGUGCAGAAGAAGGACCGGCCAACUACGUGCCAGCAGCCGCCGUAAGAC